AGUGAACGCUGGCGGUAUGCCUAACACAUGCAAGUCGAACGGCAGCAUAGUAAGAUCUUGCUCUUACGGGUGGCGAGUGGCGGACGGGUGAGGAAUACAUCGGAAUCUACUUUUUCUUGGGGGAUAACGUAGGGAAACGUACGCUAAUACCGCAUAUGACCUACGGGUGGAAGCAGUGGAGCUUCGGACCUUGCCCGAUUGUAUGAGCUGAUGCCGGAUUAGCUAGUUGGCUAGGUAAAGGCCCACCAAGGCGACGAUCCGUAGCUGACCUGAGAGGAUGAUCGGCCACACUGGAACUGAGACACGGUCCAGACUCCUACGGGAGGCAGCAGUAGGGAAUCUUGAGCAAUGGGCGAAAGCCUGACGGAGCAACGCCGCGGGAGUGAGGAAGGUCUUCGGAUCGUAAAACCCUUUUAUUAGGGAAGAAAAAAUGGGUAAGUAACCACGCACGUCUUGACGGUACCUAAUAAGAAAGCCCCGGCUAACUACGUG
rnacentral:rRNA from 1 species